rnacentral:rRNA from 1 species
GACGUAGGGGGCCAGCGUUGCUCGGAAUUACUGGGCGUAAAGGGUCCGUAGGCGGUGCGGCAAGUCGGGGGUGAAAUCUCUGGGCUUAACUCAGAGGCUGCCUCCGAAACUGCCGUGCUCGAGUGCGGGAGAGGCGAGCGGAAUUGCAGGUGUAGCGGUGAAAUGCGUAGAUAUCUGCAGGAACACCCGUGGCGAAGGCGGCUCGCUGGACCGUGACUGACGCUGAGGGACGAAAGCUAGGGGAGCAAAC